CCUACGGGAGGCAGCAGUGAGGAAUAUUGGUCAAUGGACGAGAGUCUGAACCAGCCAAGUAGCGUGAAGGAUGACUGCCCUAUGGGUUGUAAACUUCUUUUAUAUGGGAAUAAAACGUUCCACGUGUGGGAUUUUGUAUGUACCAUAUGAAUAAGGAUCGGCUAACUCCGUGCCAGCAGCCGCGGUAAUACGGAGGAUCCGAGCGUUAUCCGGAUUUAUUGGGUUUAAAGGGAGCGUAGGUGGAUUGUUAAGUCAGUUGUGAAAGUUUGCGGCUCAACCGUAAAAUUGCAGUGGAAACUGGCAGUCUUGAGUACAGUAGAGGUGGGCGGAAUUCGUGGUGUAGCGGUGAAAUGCUUAGAUAUCACGAAGAACUCCGAUUGCGAAGGCAGUUCACUGGACUGCAACUGACACUGAGGCUCGAAAGUGUGGGUAUCAAACAGGAUUAGAUACCCUUGUAGUC
rnacentral:rRNA from 1 species